rnacentral:rRNA from 1 species
GAUGAACGCUGGCGGCGUGCCUAAUACAUGCAAGUCGAGCGAACGGACGAGAAGCUUGCUUCUCUGAUGUUAGCGGCGGACGGGUGAGUAACACGUGGAUAACCUACCUAUAAGACUGGGAUAACUUCGGGAAACCGUAGCUAAUACCGGAUAAUAUUUUGAACCGCAUGGUUCAAAAGUGAAAGACGGUCUUGCUGUAACUUAUAGAUGGAUCCGCGCUACAUUAGCUAGUUGGUAAGGUAACGGCUUACCAAGGCGACGAUGCAUAGCCGACCUGAAAGGGUGAUCGGCCACACGGGAACGGAGACACGGACCAGACUCCUACGGGAGGCAGCAGUCGGGAAUCGUCCGCAAUGGGCGAAAGCCUUACGGAGCAACGCCGCGUGAGUGAUGAAGGUCUUCGGAUCGUAAAACUCUGUUAUUAGGUAAGAACAGAUGUGUAAGUAACUGUGCACAGCGUGACGGUACCUAAUCAAGAAGCAACGGCUAACUACGUG